AUUGAACGCUGGCGGCAGGCCUAACACAUGCAAGUCGAACGAGUGGCGGACGGGUGAGUAUUGUCUGGGAAACUGCCCGAUGGAGGGGGAUAACUACUGGAAACGGUAGCUAAUACCGCAUACCCUCGGAUGUGCCCAGAUGGGAUUAGCUUGUAGGUGGGGUAACGGCUCACCUAGGCGACGAUCCCUAGCUGGUCUGAGAGGAUGACCAGCAACACUGGAACUGAGACACGGUCCAGACGCCUACGGGAGGAAGAAGUGGGGAAUAUUGCACAAUGGGCGCAAGCCUGAUGCAGCCAUGCCGCGUGUAUGAAGAAGGCCUUCGGGUUGUAAAGUACUUGCAGCGGGGAGGCGUUACCCGAAGAAGAAGCACCGGCUAACUCCGUGCCAGCAGCCGCGGUAAUAC
rnacentral:rRNA from 1 species